AUUGAACGCUGGCGGCAGGCCUAACACAUGCAAGUCGAGCGGAUGAAGGGAGCUUGCUCCUGGAUUCAGCGGCGGACGGAUGAGUAAUGCCUAGGAAUCUGCCUGGUAGUGGGGGAUAACGUCCGGAAACGGGCGCUAAUACCGCAUACGUCCUGAGGGAGAAAGUGGGGGAUCUUCGGACCUCACGCUAUCAGAUGAGCCUAGGUCGGAUUAGCUAGUUGGUGGGGUAAAGGCCUACCAAGGCGACGAUCCGUAACUGGUCUGAGAGGAUGAUCAGUCACACUGGAACUGAGACACGGUCCAGACUCCUACGGGAGGCAGCAGUGGGGAAUAUUGGACAAUGGGCGAAAGCCUGAUCCAGCCAUGCCGCGUGUGUGAAGAAGGUCUUCGGAUUGUAAAGCACUUUAAGUUGGGAGGAAGGGCAGUAAGUUAAUACCUUGCUGUUUUGACGUUACCAACAGAAUAAGCACCGGCUAACUUCG
rnacentral:rRNA from 1 species